GUUGGUCUCAGACGUAGGAACAUUCCCUUGGUGGGAACCUUUCUCCCUAGGGCAUAUUCUGUAUCACACUCAUUGGCACCUUAUUUUAUCCCCUUCAGAAUUGUUCUGCAUAAACUUAUUUGUUGACUCCUCAGUGAAGCCUCAGUUUCUCCAGGGCAGGUACCUAGGCACAUACAAAAUGUCCAAAUCUCAGCCCUAACAUGACUUCUUUUAUAUUCAAUAAAUCUCCCUCCAACUAAAGAUGAUGCCUACCUUUUCCAUCCUAUAAAAGCAGGGAGUCUGGUGAAAGAGAUGAAAACACAGAGAACUUCAUGAUCUCUCAACUAGUUCUGCCAUCUUGGAGACAAUCAGAUGGUGUUUUUAACCUCAGAGGCUUUUAUACGCUCAACUCUCAAAGAUUUAUUUCUUGGCAGUAAGAUUUAGAAAAUCUACUUUUAUCCUUAAAUCUGAAUAUUCCAACUUUAUUACUUUAUCAGAGGACAUCAGGCAUGCCCCUUUGCCACAAAUUUAUCUCAAACACUUACUGGGAAUUUCUAAACAUUUGCAACUUUUGUUUUGGCCAGUUUGCUCUUGGUAUUAUGCCUAUGCAAGCAGAGUAUGUAAGCCCGUCUUCCUUACCUGUAUGUUCACUCAUUCAGCACAUAUUUAUUGAAGGCCUGCUAUAUUCCAACUACAUGACCUGCUGGGGAGACAGUGGUGAACCACAGUCACAGUCCCUUUUGCCAGAACACUGAUAUUCUAGCAAGGGUUGCUAGCACAUGCCCAAUGGGGCUCUUACCUGCUGAACCUCCAUUAGGAAGUCCUGUCAUUUACUUAGAGUACAGCAGGGGGCAGAUGAAGUCCAUCUUUCAAAAUCAUGUCUUGCCACCUGGUUUUCAGAUGUGGUAGUUCAGGAUUGUUGCUUAGUUCAGCUUUUGACGGAAACUAGAAUCUGAUUUUGCAUUUUGUCCAUUGCUUAUCUGACUUCAGUUACUCUGGUGUCAAAUCUGGGGAAAAAAAAGCCAGGCUUCAGAAGCAUUUUAUCUUUCAGAGUAAGUUUUUUCCUGGAAUAGAUGUGAGGGAAGCUUGCCACAUGUAAGGGACUUCUACUCCAGUGCUUUCAAGAAUGAAGGCUAUUCAAUGGGUUUAAUAUUAAGGUCCUCUUUGCAGUGUGAUUGGCAGUACUGGAAUUCCUGCCCAGAGCAGGCCCAGCUAUGCAGACCCCGGAUGGUGUGUCCAGAGGAGACCCAUCUCUACUGGAGAGAAUGAAGCCCCGUGAAAAAAGAAAAGCAUCACAUGGAGUGAUGGAGGAGGGGCCCUGAGAACACGACAAGAACACAUUCAUCCAUUUGAAAUCAGAGACCAUCACAGGUAUUAACUGAGCAUUUGUGCAGAUGAGGAAACUGAGACUCAGAGUGAUGAAGGUAUCUUGGUAAGAUCACACAGCUGCUUGUUGGUGGGAGAUGCUUUGAUUCAGACUCACUGGGGACCAGAGCCGGCUUUUGUUCCUAACCACUGUACAGAGCUGCCUUCAAACAGGCCCAAGCAACAGUGGGCACAGACCUUCCCGGUGACACACGGCGAGAAGCUUGGCAUUUCACUGCCAACAGUGUUCUGUUCUCGAAGCAGUCAGUUUCUUGGAAGUUAGUGGAUUCCAAUCAUGGGACAGGAAAAAUACCAAGCUGGCUUGACAGGACAAAAAAAACAACAAAAACAAAAACAAAAAAAUCAGCCUUUUGUUGCUGUGGCCUGAUAACAAGGAGCUUUCAAGAAUAUCCGAGCUGUGCUUGAAGGAGUUUCAACUAGCCCAGCUGCCAAAAUGUGAACAUCACAUGAUGGAAACAAUUAUGGUAAAUUGAGACAAGCACAAGCAGGAGAGACUAAACAAAGGAACCUGUGAGUCAGCUAAGCUGUCCCUGAAAAGGGAAAAGAAAAAAGACACUUCACCUAAAGACUCUCUGUGCAUUCAAACCAUUCGAAGAGCAAGGACAGCAAAGAAGGUAAAUGUUUGUAUCACAUUAUGCUGAGGAAAACUACUGCAAUUAAGCACCAACUUUUUCUUAGUCCUUAAUCCUACGAACAACAUAUCAGACAGAGAUGAUUGAAUGACAUUUCAAUCCCAGGUUCCUCUCAUGGUCUUUUUUAUAAGAGAUUCCCAAUAAAAGCUGAGAAGACAAUGUAAGAUCGUGAUGUUAGGAAGAUAUUUUUUCUUAUUUUUUAUUUUUAGUAACUUUUAAUAUUAAUAUAUUAUUUCAAAUUUACAGACAUAUUCCAAGAACAUUACAAAGAACUCUGAUUUACCCAAGUUCUCCAAUUAUGAACACUUUACCACAUUUGCUUUAUCAUCAUCUUCUCUCUUCCCUUCUCUUUCUCUUUUUCCUUGACCAUUUGAGAGUAAAUUGCAGACACUGAUGCCCCUUUACUUCUAAAUACCUAUGAAAGUAUUUUUGUGUGAAACUAGAAUAAUACAGCACAGCUGUGUGGCUUUCCCAAAUACCAGAUUAUAUGAAAAGAGGUUAGUGGGGCAAACAGGUUGGAAGGGGAGGAGGGCUGAGAAACCUUGUGUUAAGAUUCACUGAUUUAGCAAGUGACUGUCUUCUUAUUAGAUUUAUUUAGGUCGAUAAAAUUAGCAAAAUCUCCAAAGCAGCUUCUAUCCACACUUUACAUAGGAUGGAGAAAACAUCAAUGUCCACAUCAAAUUAUACAAAUGGAAGGGGAGGCUCCUAGCCCCAACUGUCCCAUCCCAAGAGACCCCAGGAUCACCACCGCUUCAUCUCUACAAAGGGGAACGAAGUUCAAGUCACUGCGCGAGAAGAGGUCGUGCGCUCUGGACACGGCGCGCUCCCACGGACAGCGCAGCGGGAUGGUCAGGUUCUGUCCCUAGUGCACUUCCAAGGAAACA